rnacentral:lncRNA from 1 species
GUGCUGGACCAGAGCAACCGGAGUCGGACCUGGGCAGUGCAGCCGAGGUGGCCUGUCCGCCUUGUCGUCGACCGUCUCUGUUUCCUCAUUACACCUGGACGGGGCGGCUCGGAGCUCCCGGGCGUCCUUCGUGUGGCCGCGAGAAACUCCCUGCACUGCUUUGAUGAGCCUGGCAGGGUGGUGAACGCUCUCCCCGCUGGCCGUGUCCCAGUGAAUCUCCCAGCAGCCCUCGAGUUUCCCUUCUGCCUUGGCUGCCCAGAAGGAAGCUUCACAACCUUUUGUGCUGCCUUUGCCUUAGCCCAGCUUUUCCUCUGUCACAUCAGGUACCUCGCCUUCAAGCGGCGCUUCUUUUUUCCUUGUUUGUGUUAGCUUUAUUUUAUUCUCCAGAAUAUUCUAAACCACUCAGAAUGUGGGCGAAUUUUGAAGAACGAAUGAAAUACUUUACAAUUCAUUUUGACAACAUUUUACAGUUGUCUGAAUGGAAUGCUUAG